rnacentral:antisense_RNA from 19 species
UUCUUUGGCGGGCCGGGCGGGGAGACCUUCGGGUCUGCCGGUUCCGUUGUUCCGGUUCGCCAACCCCGCCGUCUGGCCCGCCACCCCU